GGGAUAGCUGAGAGUACGAGUGUAGACCUCGCCACAGACACGACUUUUAAACUCAUGAAGAAGACCUGUUUCUACUACUAUUAUCUACCCUCAGUGAUCCAGAAACCUCCAACCGUCUAAUUUAAAGAUUGCCGCUUAUGCCCGAUUCGUUGUGAUGACUUUAGCGGUAGUACUAUGUUCCUUCAAAUGCAGUCUACUUCAAAUGAGACAAAGAGGAGCCUCACUGUCAGCGGGAUGGUAAUGCUGAUGACCUUGAUGUCAGAUGGAGUUCUGGUAAUGAAACUGUGGCACUAGUUAAACAUGAUAAAACUGAGCCUGAUGUUUUACUAUAGCAGCACCAGACUGAACACAUUUACAUUUACAUUUAUAUAGAAGUAUGUUUGAUAUUUACACUAUAAACACGGUAACGCACUAUUCCAUUUUAUUUUAUUUGUUUAUUUAUUAAUUUAUUUUAUUUAUUUAUGGUUUAUUAGAUUGAUUAUGAGGUGACACAAUUUAAAAGAAUGCAUGAGUUAGAGGGGUUACAAGAUAGACUCAGUACAAGACCUGAUGUGUUUGAUGAUGUUGAAGCAGAACACAACGUUGACAUAUUAACUGCUGAAAUAUCUUAAAUGCUCAGUAGGGCUAAGCAAGGAUUAGCAGACAGCUAAAAUGGAUCAGAUCAAGAAAAGAAAUUUUCUAAAAAUGUUGUAUCAUCGCUAGCAAUCACACUGCAAGAUCUUUCAGUGGAUUUCACAAUUAUCUUAUUUUAAAACAAGAACAAGAGCCCAUAUACAGCAGAGGAUACAACAAGUAGUUCAUGAAGUGAAGACAAAGUCAUCAAAAGUCAAACAGAAAGUAUUAAUGAACGCCAGCAGACAAUCGAGGGAAGCACUAAUGCACAAUCAAACUCAAAAGAAACUUGUUGGAAUUGUGGUAGGAAGGCUGCAGUGGUGCAGUAAAGCAAGAUACUGUGGUAAUUACUGCCAACAUAAGACUAGGACAGACACCUUAAGCAUUGUUCAACGUACGUCAUUAUCAUCUUCUAAUAAUAGUAACACAUCUGGUGUAAUAGGACGUGCCACUAUUUGUAACAGAUCAGGUAGUAGAGGUCACAUUUCAAUAACUCGUCAACACUCAAACAGGACCGCACCCUUAAGCCUCACCUCAACCAUCACAUGUCCACUGACCACUCAUUAAUCACAGUACCUACUACAAAUCUUCGUUUAGUUAA